UACGAAGGGUGCAAGCGUUACUCGGAAUUACUGGGCGUAAAGCGUGCGUAGGUGGUGCGUUAAGUCUGUCGUGAAAGCCCCGGACUCAACCUGGGAAUGGCGAUGGAUACUGGCGCGCUAGAGUGCGGUAGAGGAGAGUGGAAUUCCCGGUGUAGCAGUGAAAUGCGUAGAGAUCGGGAGGAACAUCAGUUGCGAAGGCGGCUCUCUGGACCAGCACUGACACUGAGGCACGAAAGCGUGGGGAGCAAACAGG
rnacentral:rRNA from 1 species